GAGAAGGAGAACUUCCUGAGGGAAUGCAUCAGCUGGGUGGCAAGCUGGCAGUUCAGAUCUCAGCGUAAGCCACCACCUUCCCAGCACGGAAUGUGCCUCUCCAUAAAAAGUGUCCUUCUUGUCCACAAGAGGUGCACAGAUACAGGAAUGAAGUAUCUGUGCACCUCAAAAUUGAACCAGGACUGCAUUGAGGUAGGUCAACACACUAUUACUUUGCAAAUAAAAAAGUUACUUGUUGAAAACUAGGAUUUUGACCACCUGCUUUUUUAUUUUUUAAGAACCUAUUCUCCUUGAUUCGGGGCAAAGGGGGGCACAAAUACAAUCCCAGUGAGAGGGAAUUCACCGCUGCACUCAGGGGUUUGAGUGUAGCCAACAUUUUACCUGCUCUUUCUGCAUCGACUUCAUCAAACUGCGAGCUGGAUGACGGGACAACCCUCCUAGCCAGUAUCUCAGAGGACGCAAUCCCCUCCACCUCAACAGCUCCAAUGACCUCAAUGGCCCUCCCUACCACCCUGACAACAGAGAUUGAGGAUGAAGAACUAGUGGUAUCGGACAUUGUGGAAGAUCAGACUGUUGGCGAUUGCAUCCAGGAGGAGGGCCUGUUCUACGUUGCUGGCUGGCUUGUCCGGGUCCUUCAAAAGGAGGAAAUUGUUCAGGCCUGUCCACACUGUGAGGUGCUGCUGUUGGGUGCCAGACAUCAGGACCACAGCUACGCCACAAGUGAGGACCACCCCUUCCUGGAGGCAAAAAAAUACACGGCAACGGCAAACCUAAUGAGGCCUUCGGAAGGGUUUUUCGCUGCCAUCCAGCUUUUGGAGGGGGAAUUUGGAUGGAACAUCGACGCUUUCUGGCCUCUCAUCCAGAUCACCAAAAAAAUGGAGAGGGCUCUGGGCAGUCUGGGGGUGUUCAAAAGCCUCUUCAGCUCACACCCUGAGCAUGCAAUUCUAUUGGAGACAAUAGCAAUAAAACAAAUUGUGAUGUGCAGGCUCGGGGGGGAAAUCCGUGAGAGGAACAGGAGGCUGAGCAAACAGCAAACGGCCAAAGCAGCUCAGAGAAAGCUGUCCACCUUCACGGCCUGAAUGGAGCUGGAGGAUCGUUGCUGUGUCUGGCUGUGGAGGGAGCUAGAUGGAGCGGUCUUCAAAUUAUUCCUGUGGAGAAUAUAAUAAUAAUAAAAAGAUUUAAAAAAAUUAAAAAUUAAAUAUAUAUCUUUUAGUAAAUGAUUUUAGUGAUCAUUUGAGGUUGUUCUUUUACUACAUGCAACGAUUGUUGUUUAUUAAUGUGUCCUUUAACAUUGCUCUACAUUGUUCUACGAAAGAAAAUCAAACUUCAAUUAAUGUGCCCCUGCAUUUUAACUGAGUCAAGUAGGUAUACACUUUGACCAGAGAAAAAUCAAUAACUUAAUGAUCGUGCGCUCCGUCUUCUUUUCAGCCAUCAUUAUUUCUUUUCUACAGGAU
rnacentral:lncRNA from 1 species